rnacentral:lncRNA from 1 species
UUUGUGUCUAUAUUUAGAAUACAGAAUUUUUACCUUCUGAUUUUCUGUUCCAUCAGGUUUAUGAUAGAGAACAUUUACUGCAGACACACAAAGAAUCGAAUUCCAAUGCAAAAGCAAAAAUAUCUGAAAGAGCCCCUUAUCUUCUAAAAAGAUACCUAAGCUCCCAAAGUAUGACUCAGAGUCUUGGCAAAGACCAACACAGAUAUUUUUUAGAUAUCUGUGAGAGGCCAAUCCAGAAAUCAGUUCAGCCCAAGGAAAACGAUUUGUAUGGAAGCUGUUUCCAAGUGACAUCCUUGAAGUGUCCCAUGACCAGACAAACCUCACGCUGGAUUGCGAAGACAAAGAUUUCAACAGAUCUGCAUGACAAUUUAAAAAGCAAAGUGAAAGACUGCACAUCUUUCCAGAGCAAGAAAACUGGCAUAAAUUGGACAGAUGAUGAAAAAAGAGUCUACAGGAAUAAAAGAACAGUUCCAUCUCAAGAACUGUUGCGGUGUUUUCUCCCUAUUGUGAACAGCUCUAAAAAUAUCAAAACUGGUCAGAUAAAACAGCCAAUUUCACAACAAAUAAAGCAAGCUUCUUGCAUAAACAUAAAGAGAUACAGCCCAUCUUGGACAGCACCAAGAAAUCCUCUUUUCAUAGCUCCCAAAAGUCUUAUGCCAAAUACCUCAACCUUGCUCCAGUGUGCACCCCAGAAGCCACUAGGAAGAUUUUCAGCCUUCAAAGGCCACAAGAGGAAAAAGGGCUCUCAAGCCCAGGCCACAAAGACGGAAGACACAGAGUCUCUCAGCAGCAAAUGGGAAUCUGCUUCCCCAAGUUUUGAAAUGAAUGCCAGUAUUCUACAAGACAAGAGUCUUCCUGCUAAAGAAUCCAACCUGCAGGAACCUAAGCAGAUAGAUCCUCAUCUAACUAAAAAUAAGAGUGAGCAACCAAAUAAGAAUGAUGGUCUCCAAAGAGAUGACUAGCUUGGCUGUGCGCUGCUCUGAAGACUGAGAAAUGGGUCUGCUGGCACAGUUAAAAAGAAAAGUCCCCCUUUCCUGUCUCUCCCUCUUCAGACACACGCAGAUACUAAACUUCAGAUUCCAGAUAUCCCAGCACAUUUAGUGGAAACAUCUUUCUGAAAUUUAAAAGGAACCCAGAAAAAAUAUAAAACACUUUGAUAUAUUUAAUUUUGUCAACAUGGAAAAAACUAGACAUUUGAUUUUUUCAAAAAUUACUUAAGCAAACAACACCAAAAAAACUAUGAGCUGAAGGAAAGGACACAUACACCACUCAUUUUAAGCACCUAAGUGCUUCAAUGAAUUAAUAAACAAAUACCAUUCCCCGAGUUUCUGCUUUAUGAUUGGUGUGCCGGGAACCACCAAUGAUGUCAGAGACAUUUCUUCCCACUAGAAGAACAUCAUAUAAAGUCAUGUAAAGCACACAUGACUAAAAUGAUUAUAGAAAUGAUACCAUGCAGAGUAAAAUACUAAGUUGUACACCUCCAACCAAU